GAAAAUAAGAGAGAAAUGGAAACUUACCUUAAUAUUGUUUGGGGAGACUUUAUGAGAGGAUUUGUGAUAAAGGGGCUAAGAAAGGAGAGAAGAGCCAUUGCUCUUGUGUGUGUGUGUGUGGCUGCCGUGACCUAGAGAGAGAGAGAGAGAGUGGCGUGUAGAGAGAGAGAGAGAGAGAGAGAGGAAGAAAGAAAGAAAGGAAGAAGGAAGAAGAAAGUGAAGAGGAACCCCCUAGAGUAUGUCUUCUUGUUUUCUCUUUUACAUAAUCUUUUUAUUUGAUAAUAUGAUUUUGAUUGUGUUAUUUUCUUGUGUGUGUUUGGGUCUUUCCUUCUCUUCAUGGUGGCUUUCCCAUAAAAACCCUAGGCUUGAACAAGGGUGUGGAGUUUGUGGUAUUGAUCUUUUGUGUUCUUGAUUCUACAAUCAAGAGAGGCUCGUUGAAAAGAUUGUGAAAUUCUUAGCUUGGACCUGAGGUAGCAAAUAGGAUUUCUCUAUGGCACGCGUGGUGACGUGAGGAGUUCUUCAUCAUGGGGUGUAUGGCGUGGGGCAAUCCUAUGGACGAUAAAACGAUCAACGUAGAACGCCAUUUAAAUUAUGUUUUGUUUUAAGGGACUUUUUCCUAAAUUAUCAGUGGGACUCUGUUAUUUAACUUAA